rnacentral:misc_RNA from 1 species
UGCCAUUCCGUUGGGUUUACAACAACGUGAUGUUAUUGGGAUUGCCGAGACUGGUUCUGGUAAGACUGCUGCCUUUGUUCUUCCCAUGCUUGCUUAUAUUACAAGGUUGCCUCCCAUCAAUGAAGAGAAUGAAGCAGAAGGGCCUUAUGCGGUAGUGAUGGCUCCCACUCGUGAGCUUGCUCAACAGAUUGAGGAUGAAACUGUGAAAUUUUCUCAUUAUUUGGGUAUUAAAG